GGAAUAUUGCGCAAUGGGGGGAACCCUGACGCAGCGACGCCGCGUGAGUGAUGACGGCCUUUUUGGUUGUAAAGCUCUGUAAAGAGGGAAAAAUGUUGCAGUGAAGAGCUGCAAUUGAUGGUACCUCUAAAGUAAGGACCGGCUAAAUACGUGCCAGCAGCCGCGGUAAUACGUAUGGUCCUAGCGUUGUCCGGAAUGACUGGGCGUAAAGGGUGUGUAGGCGGAUGUAUGUGUCAGAUGUGAAAUACCUCGGCUUAACUGAGGCAUUGCGUUUGAAACUGUACAUCUUGAGCAUGUCAGGGGUAAGCGGAAUUCCCGGAGUAGCGGUGAAAUGCGUAGAUAUCGGGAAGAACACCGGUGGCGAAGGCGGCUUACUGGGGCAUAGCUGACGCUGAGGCACGAAAGCGUGGGGAGCGAACG
rnacentral:rRNA from 1 species